CAGGUGCUAAUACCGUAUAAUAAUCGAAACCGCAUGGUUUUGAUUUGAAAGGCGCUUUCGGGUGUCGCUGAUGGAUGGACCCGCGGUGCAUUAGCUAGUUGGUGAGGUAACGGCUCACCAAGGCCACGAUGCAUAGCCGACCUGAGAGGGUGAUCGGCCACAUUGGGACUGAGACACGGCCCAAACUCCUACGGGAGGCAGCAGUAGGGAAUCUUCGGCAAUGGACGAAAGUCUGACCGAGCAACGCCGCGUGAGUGAAGAAGGUUUUCGGAUCGUAAAACUCUGUUGUUAGAGAAGAACAAGGAUGAGAGUAACUGUUCAUCCCUUGACGGUAUCUAACCAGAAAGCCACGGCUAACUACGUGC
rnacentral:rRNA from 1 species